rnacentral:rRNA from 1 species
AUGUUUCGCUCGUCUUCUCUUGUUUGUUUUUAUUUAUUGGUAUUUUUAUAUUGCUUUGCUCUUCCAUUUUUUUUGUAUAGGGUGUUUGAGUUGAUCGAAGUUGUUUUUGUUUCUCUUUAUUUGUGUUGUGCUCUAUACAAAUUGAAAGAUAACUUGUCCAUCGAGACUACUGGAGUGACUACAAUUGAUAAGAGGAACCAGAAAAAGAGAGCAGUGAAAGUCUUAUCUCCUGAGAAGAAAGUUUCUAAGUUAGAACUUGAUGAAAAAGUAAAGGAAUUCUAUAGCAAGUACGUGAGAAACAUUUUCUUCAAGGCUAAAGAUCCGUGA